CUUCACAGGUUAACCCGUGGCCUGAGUGAGGAAGGCAAUGUCCUUGCUAGUCACUAUUUUGUGGCGACAUCUCCAAAUUGCGUGAAACCCGUCAUACAGCUUCAAGUACCACUUCAAUUGAGAAAUCUUUUGAAGGAACAGAGGUAACUCCUCUUCCCAAAGGUAAAAUGGCUUGAAGAAAUGGUGGCAAUGCGCAGCCAAGCUCCUAAGUAUUUUAAAUAUAAGGAGAAGGUUCAGAGAGCAGACGGAGAUGGGCGGUAAUUAUCGCCGCUUAAGGUGUGCUCCAGCCUCUUUCGAAAGAUUGAG
rnacentral:ncRNA from 1 species